rnacentral:rRNA from 1 species
CUACGUGCCAGCAGCCGCGGUAAUACGGAGGAUGCGAGCGUUAUCCGGAUUUAUUGGGUUUAAAGGGUGCGUAGGCGGCCUGUUAAGUCAGCGGUGAAAUCUAGGAGCUUAACUCCUAAAUUGCCAUUGAUACUGGCGGGCUUGAGUGUAGAUGAGGUAGGCGGAAUGCGUGGUGUAGCGGUGGAAUGCAUAGAUAUGACGAAGAACUCCGAUUGCGAAGGCAGCUGACGGGAGCGCAACUGACGCUUAAGCUCGAAGGUGCGGGUAUCAAACAGGAUUAGAUACCCUGGUAGUCCGCACAGUAAACGAUGGAUGCCCGCUGUUGGUACCUGGUAUCAGCGGCUAAGCGAAAGCAUUAAGCAUCCCACCUGGGGAGUACGCCGGCAACGGUGAAACUCAAAGGAAUUGACGGGGGCCCGCACAAGCGGAGGAACAUGUGGUUUAAUUCGAUGAUACGCGAGGAACCUUACCCGGGCUUGAA